CAAAUACGAAACUGCUCCAAUUUUCUAAAUCUGUAAGUUGCUUUUAUUCUCAUUUUAGAAUUCCUACGCAAUGUCCCUUUAGUUUUCAUUCUGAUUUGCUUUUCUCUCGAAUUUCAAUUGUUUCUUUUGGGUAAAGCCUUAUUAUUGAAUCGAAUUCAGUGGAAUGUGUUUUUAAUCGUUCAUUAAGAUGUGAUCCAUUAUAAAAUGGAAGCAAAGGUGUAUUGUUUAUGUUUCUUUGUGAUUUGUGUUGUUAUAGCUUUUUGUUGCCUUUUAUGUAGAUUCGUAUUUUAUUUAUUUUAUUUUAAUGAAAUGGGGGACAUAUCUGCCAUCUGGUUUAUUUUAAUGACUACUUUUUCACAGGGAUAUCAUUUUUCUUCAAUUCUUCCACCAAAUUUCUUCACGUUACCUUUCUCCCAUGUAUGAUUAAGAUUUUCUUGUUAGAUGCCAACAUUUUCUAAAACUCAAAAGCAUGCACAUAACCCUAAGAUUCUGAUUUUGAUUAACCUCUUAAAAUGAUAUGAUGCUGUUAAACAAAACAGAUAAUAAUAAUUCAGCAAAUCGUAAUGCCUAUUAAAUUAAUGUAAAAGGAAAGCAUCUCUCUUUUUUCCUUUUUUUUUUUGGGUGUGUAGAAGAAGAAACUUUAAGAGAGGGUAGAUUACCAGCUUAAAAUCAUAGGCAUAAACUCUGGAAGUGUAAUGUGACAGAAGUUAAUGAAUGAAUUGGAAAAGUACUUCAAUAAUUGGAGAAGAGUCAUUUCCUUAUGACAGCAAAAGAGCUACAAUGGUAGUGCUUAGGCAAAUGUCUUCUGAAUUUAUAGUUAUAUUUGUUCCAACAAAAGUUUCUCCUCUUGAUUUAACAUAUUGUGCAUUUUACAACUCAUUCAUUAGAGGGAAUCUGCAGGAUUUUUUUUCCCUCUCAAUCACAAAUGCGAUGUUUUCUGCGAAAAGAAGAGUUGAAUGGCAUUUGGCUUUGGUGUCUCGUGAAAAUUGUUAACUGGCCUGCAUAGCAAAUGCUUCAUAAUUUUUGCCUUUCAGGAAAUUGCACAUUAAAUGAUCUGCCCAUGCUAUUGCUAAUUGGCUCUAAAAGCAGUCCUAUUGAACACUUCUGCUGCCUUUUAUUAUAUUUAGAAGAUGGAUUCACAUGUUUUCGUCUUCUUGAGCCGAGUUUCUUUCAGAAACAGCGCAUCUACCCCGCAGGGUAGGGAUAAGGUCUGCGUACACACUACCCUCCCUAAACCCCACUAAUUGGGAUUUCACUAGGUCGUUGUUGUUGGAUUCACAUGUUCACGCUUGGGGAAUUAGGACCUCUAAACUUAUAGGAAUAACGUAGAGUUGUAGACUGAGCAUUCAUCCUGAUAACAACCUCUCUAUCCUGCGGGGUAGGGGUAAGGUCUGCGUACACACUAUCCUCCCAGACCCCACUAGUUGGGAUUUCACUGGGUCGUUGUUGGAUUCACAUGUUUACGCUUGGGGAAUUAGGACCUCUAAAUUUAUAGGAAUA
rnacentral:lncRNA from 1 species